CACAAGGGGUGAAGCCUGCGGUUCAAUUGGAGUCAACGCCAGAAAUCUUACCCGGAGAGACAGCAGAAUGAAGGUCAAGCUGAAGACUUUACCAGACAAGCUGAGAGGUGGUGCAUGGCCGUCGCCAGCUCGUGCCGUGAGAUGUCCUGUUAAGUCAGGUAACGAGCGAGAUCCCUGCCACUAGUUGCUAUCAUUAUUCUCAGGAAUAGUGGGGCGAAUUAGUGGGACUGCCGUUGUUAAAACGGAGGAAGGAAGGGGCUACGGCAGGUCAGUAUGCCCCGAAACUCUGGGGCCACACGCGGGCUGCAAUGGUAGCGACAAUGAGUUCCAAACUCGAAAGGGAGUAGCAAUCUCUAAACGCUACCACAGUUAUGACUGAGGGCUGUAACUCGCCCUCACGAAUAUGGAAUCCCUAGUAACCGCGUGUCAUUACCGCGCGGUGAAUACGUCCCUGCUCCUUGCACACACCGCCCGUCGUUUCAUCGAAGUUUGCUUUUAGCGAGGUGAUGUUUAAUUGACAUUAUCGAACUUGAGGUAAGUGACGAGGGAAAAGUCGUAACAAGGUGACCGUAGGGGAACCUGCGGUCGGAUCACCUCCUU
rnacentral:rRNA from 1 species